rnacentral:sRNA from 1 species
AAGUUUCAGGCUGGCUCCUCAGGGCGCCACAGCACACGAAACCGCGUUGGUUCUUACAUUUCAUCAUGCGCGCCACUCGUUAAAAGCGGCCGCCAGACGAUGAUAUGUACUUUCAGGUCGGUUUCGUGUGCUGCAUUGUUGACGCAUUUAUCUAUUGGUAUCGCAUGAACCCCAUCGUAAUAAAUCGGCUUCAGCGGAAGCUGGGCUACACUUUUCAUC